rnacentral:rRNA from 1 species
AGAGUUUGAUCCUGGCUCAGAUUGAACGCUGGCGGAAUGCUUUACACAUGCAAGUCGAACGAUGAACCUUAUCUUGCUAAGGGGAUUAGUGGCGAACGGGUGAGUAAUAUAUCGGAACGUGCCUUGUAAUGGGGGAUAACUAGACAAAAGAUUAGCUAAUACCGCAUACGCCCUGAGGGGGAAAGUAGGGGAUCUUCGGACCUUACGUUAUAAGAGCGGCCGAUAUCUGAUUAGCUAGUUGGUGGGGUAAUGGCCUACCAAGGCGACGAUCAGUAGCUGGUCUGAGAGGACGACCAGCCACACUGGAACUGAGACACGGUCCAGACUCCUACGGGAGGCAGCAGUGGGGAAUUUUGGACAAUGGGCGCAAGCCUGAUCCAGCCAUUCCGCGUGAGUGAAGAAGGCCUUCGGGUUGUAAAGCUCUUUCGCAAGGGAAGAAAACUUACUUUCUAAUAAAGAGUGAGGCUGACGGUACCUUGAUAAGAAGCACCGGCUAACUACGUGCCAGCAGCCGCGGUAAUACGUAGGGUGCGAGCGUUAAUCGGAAUUACUGGGCGUAAAGCGUGCGCAGGCGGUUUGGCAAGUCAGAUGUGAAAUCCCCGAGCUCAACUUGGGAACUGCGUUUGAAACUGCCAGACUAGAAUAUGUCAGAGGGGGGUAGAAUUCCACGUGUAGCAGUGAAAUGCGUAGAGAUGUGGAGGAAUACCAAUGGCGAAGGCAGCCCCCUGGGAUAAUAUUGACGCUCAUGCACGAAAGCGUGGGGAGCAAACAAGAUUAGAUACCCUGGUAGUCCACGCCCUA